UCUGGCUGUAGCCUGCAAUACCUAUGUUAUUGGACACGGAACACCCUUCAUAUCACGGAAUGCCCCCAACACCAGUCACGGAACGCCUUCUGAUGUCAGUUUCGAAACGUCAUCAUUGUUUUUGUCGGAGUUCGCAGGAAUGGUGGACUUUGAAUAAAACUUUCUGAAAGCUUUUCGAGGAAAGAAGACACUGAAAGAAACUGACACUGAAGAAAGAGUUUGAGUUGGAAAUGAAGAUGGUAAGACACAUAAGUAUAAUGAAGACCACAGAGGAACCUACAGUUGUGUUUGGUGCUCAGGAGUUUGCUUGUCUGUUUUGCUAUAAAAGAUCAGAUUAUGUAGGCAUCAUCAGCCACUUACAGAGCCACAAAAGGACAGUAGUUGUUCAUGGAGGAAAAUUGCCUCUAAACUAAUGCCAGGUAGCUGUAAGGAACCACAGAACAAGGUAAUGUAAAUAUAAAUAUGCUUUGCUAGUAUAAGACAAAAAACACACACAUCUCCUUUACUAAUCACCUCUUAAAAUGAUAGAAUCUACCCAAACAGAUUGACAGCCUGGACUAUGGGAUCUUUAUGCUUAUGGAAGAUGUGCCAUAAAUUAGAAGAUGGUGGUGUCUUCUCUUUGCAAAACAGCAUGAAAAGCUAAGACAGCGGUCUUAAAUUUCCACACAAGAAGAAGGACAUUCUGCGUACCACAGGGAGUACAGUGGAGGCAAAAAGCAAGAUAAAUCAAUCAAGCUAAGCAUUCCUAUGACAUGCAUUGGUCAUAUUGUCUUCAUUGAUCCAAAACAUCUUGACUGGAUGCCAACAAAGACCGACUGGUUGGGACAGAACUCCGGCCAAGAAUUCUGGAAAUGGACGAGGAUGAAGUUAUGUGCACAACUGAAAAAUUAGAACAAACGGGAGAUGAUGAAGAUACUGAAGAAGUCAUGUCCAAAUUGUUAUUUACUUUUGACUGCAUGAAGGACAUGAACUUUUUUCUUGAUGAGAUACGGGGUAAAAAAAAAUUCCCAUCAGUUGCUUCUGUUCUACAAAUUAGAUUUUUCUAUUUUAUUAUUAUUUUUUUUUUCAGCCUUCAAAAUUUCAAAGGAACUACAUAUGGCAGAAAGCCUACAGUGAUGUAAUUUUGUUCAGUGGAUUUGAUCAGUGAUUCACUGUAAAGACAAGUGGGGAUGGACUGGUUUUCUGACCUGGUUUAAUAGUUCCUUGUAUACUGAAAUGACCAAU